GUCGAACGAAGCAUGACCCAUGAGGCCUUCGGGCGGAAUGGGUCAUGACUUAGCGGCGGACGGGUGAGUAACGCGUGGGUAACCUGCCCUAUACUGGGGGAUAACAGCUAGAAAUGGCUGCUAAUACCGCAUGAGCGCACAGUCCCGCAUGGGACAGUGCGGAAAACUCCGGUGGUAUAGGAUGGACCCGCGUCCGAUCAGCUGGUUGGUGGGGUAACGGCCCACCAAGGCGACGAUCGGUAGCCGACCUGAGAGGGUGACCGGCCACAUUGGGACUGAGACACGGCCCAAACUCCUACGGGAGGCAGCAGUGGGGGAUAUUGCACAAUGGGGGGAACCCUGAUGCAGCGACGCCGCGUGAGUGAAGGAGUACUCCGGUAUGUAAAGCUCUAUCAGCAGGGAAGAAGCAAGACGGUACCUGACCAAGAAGCCCCGGCUAACUACGUGCCAGCAGCCGCGGUAAUACGUAGGGGGCGAGCGUUAUCCGGAUUCACUGGGUGUAAAGGGAGCGUAGACGGCCGAUCAAGUCUGGAGUGAAAGCCCGGGGCCCAACCCCGGGACUGCUCUGGAAACUGGUGGGCUAGAGUGCUGGAGAGGUAAGUGGAAUUCCUAGUGUAGCGGUGAAAUGCGUAGAUAUUAGGAGGAACACCAGUGGCGAAGGCGGCUUACUGGACAGCGACUGACGUUGAGGCUCGAAAGCGUGGGGAGCAAACAGGAUUAG
rnacentral:rRNA from 1 species